rnacentral:tRNA from 2 species
GGCUAGAUAGCAUAGCGGUUGAUGCAAAAGAUUGCAAAUCUUUUUACAUUGGUUCGAAUCCAAUUCUAGCUU